GGCACACUUGAGGGGAAAGCUAUACUCCCCAGAGAACAAAGAAAAGACUCACUUUGCCAAAUACAGAAAUGGACUCAUUUAGGAGAUAAAAAGUUUGUCCAAGUAGUUAAGUGUAUGUAAUAGACUUUAAGAUUUUAGCCAGAGAGGCAGUAGAAAGUAUAAGGUAUGUCAAUAAGUGAAUGCUUAGCAAGCAAACAGGGCAAAGAGACCUAGAGAGUUUGGUGAAAAGUCGAAGUGAACUUCACUGAGAUAAAACCAGAAAAAUAUAAUCACAAGUAUCUCCUAGUGCUUGUAGAUACUUUUUCAGGAAUAGAUAGAAGCUUUCCUCACCAAACAAGAGACGGCCUCUGCAAUCAUCAAGAAGAUACUGGAAGAAAUCUUCCUCCGAUUUGGAAUGCCCAAGGUAAUCUGGUCAGACAACGGCCCUACUUUUGUUGCCAAGGUAAGCCAGGGUGUGGCCAAGUAUUUAGAGGUCGAUUGGAAAUUACAUUGUAUUUACAGACCUCAAAGUUCAGGACAGGUAGGGUAAAUAAAUAGAACUCUAAAAGAGACCCUGACCAAAUUAACCAUGGAGACUGGCACAGACUGGGUGACACUCCUUCCCUCUUGCUCUCUUCAGAGCAAGAAAUACCCCUUCCAGAUUCAGCCUUACCCCCUUUGAGAUCUUAUAUGGGGCCUCAGCCCCCCUGACUGUAUUAGAUGAUGUUACUGAACCAACAUGUCAUAGUGCCAUAGUAAUAAUGAUUUGUGUGCCAGGCUAAAAGACCUACAGGUGAUACAGAAAGAAAUCUGCUCACGGCUGACAGCAGCCUAUGCCCCGGAGACCCCUGAGACAUCCCAUCAGUUCCAGGUUGCAGCUACACUGAGUCCAGACACUCGAGCCUCGCUGGAAAGGACCGUACCUGGUGCUGCUGACCACCCUGACAGCUGUCAAUUCUCAGCCCUCACCAGCCAUGUACUAGCUGUUGGGGCUGAGAGCUGGGACCUAGAGGGAAAUUCAGUCAUGUUUGUCCUGGGUUCUAUCAAGAUAGGUGUGGGAUAGGCUUGAUUUCCAUUACAAAUGAUGUAACAUUGCAUAUGUUAGUACUCUUAACACUUCUUGGGACUGUGCCUCAGGGAUCACAGUCCAUAUAAGCUUAGAAGUUCUAAAAGCUAGUCAUGACCUUGGUGGAUAGGCUUGGAUAGUGUCCAGGUUAGAAUCCUCAUGUUAAGACUACAAUACCAAGCUGUUAUGCUAGAUGAAGCUGAGUUCUCCAUGAAGUUCUAGGAUUAGAACUAUUAACAAAAAAAGAAGAAGUGGGGAAUGAAGGAUUAAAAAUUAAUAAUAAGCCGC
rnacentral:lncRNA from 1 species